rnacentral:rRNA from 1 species
AUUGAACGCUAGCGGCAGGCCUAACACAUGCAAGUCGAACGAGUGGCGGACGGGUGAGUAAUGUAUGGGAAAGUGCCCAGUGGAGGGGGAUAACUACUGGACACAGUAGCUAAUACCGCAUACUAUUGGAUCGGCCCAUAUCGGAUUCGCUAGUAGGUGGGGUAAAGGCUCACCUAGGCGACGAUCCCUAGCUGGUGUGAGAGGAUGACCAGCCACACUGGGACUGAGACACGGCCCAGACUCCUACGGGAGGCAGCAGGGGGGAAUAUUGGACAAUGGGCGCAAGCCUGAUGCAGCCAUCCCGCGUGUAUGAUGAAGGCCUUCGGGUUGUAAAGUACUUUCGGCGGGGAGGCGUUACCCGCAGAAGAAGCACCGGCUAACUCCGUGCCAGCAGCCGCGGUAAUUC